AUUGAACGCUGGCGGCAUGCCUUACACAUGCAAGUCGAACGGCAGCACGGGAGCAAUCCUGGUGGCGAGUGGCGAACGGGUGAGUAAAGUAUCGGAACGUGCCCAGUCGUGGGGGAUAACGUAGCGAAAGUUACGCUAAUACCGCAUACGAUCUAUGGAUGAAAGCGGGGGAUCGCAAGACCUCGCGCGAUUGGAGCGGCCGAUAUCAGAUUAGGUAGUUGGUGGGGUAAAGGCUCACCAAGCCGACGAUCUGUAGCUGGUCUGAGAGGACGACAGGCCACCCUGGGACUGAGACACGGCCCAGACUCCUACGGGAGGCAGCAGUGGGGAAUUUUGGACAAUGGGCGAAAGCCUGAUCCAGCCAUGCCGCGUGCAGGAUGAAGGCCUUCGGGUUGUAAACUGCUUUUGUACGGAACGAAAAGGUUUGGGCUAAUAAGCUGAGCUCAUGACGGUACCGUAAGAAUAAGCACCGGCUAACUACGUGCCAGCCGCCGCGGUAA
rnacentral:rRNA from 1 species